rnacentral:tRNA from 1 species
GGCGAUGUAGCUCAGUAGGUAAGAGCGCACCACUCAUAAUGGUGAGGCCAGAGGUUCAAAUCCUUUCAUCGCUACCA